rnacentral:rRNA from 1 species
GACGAACGCUGGCGGCGUGCCUAAUACAUGCAAGUAGAACGCUGAAGGAGGAUCUUGCUUCUCUGGAUGAGUUGCGAACGGGUGAGUAACGCGUAGGUAACCUGCCUGGUAGCGGGGGAUAACUAUUGGAAACGAUAGCUAAUACCGCAUAAUAGUAGAUGUUGCAUGACAUUUGCUUAAAAGGUGCACUUGCAUCUCUACCAGAUGGACUUGCGUUGUAUUAGCUAGUUGGUGGGGUAACGGCUCACCAAGGCGACGAUACAUAGCCGACCUGAGAGGGUGAUCGGCCACACUGGGACUGAGACACGGCCCAGACUCCUACGGGAGGCAGCAGUAGGGAAUCUUCGGCAAUGGACGGAAGUCUGACCGAGCAACGCCGCGUGAGUGAAGAAGGUUUUCGGAUCGUAAAGCUCUGUUGUAAGAGAAGAACGAGGGUGAGAGUGGAAAGUUCACACUGUGACGGUAUCUUACCAGAAAGGGACGGCUAACUACGUG